rnacentral:rRNA from 1 species
GCAGUCGCCGCGGUAAUCCGUAGGUGGCAAGCGUUGUCCGGAAUUAUUGGGCGUAAAGGGCUCGCAGGCGGUUUCUUAAGUCUGAUGUGAAAGCCCCCGGCUCAACCGGGGAGGGUCAUUGGAAACUGGGAAACUUGAGUGCAGAAGAGGAGAGUGGAAUUCCACGUGUAGCGGUGAAAUGCGUAGAGAUGUGGAGGAACACCAGUGGCGAAGGCGACUCUCUGGUCUGUAACUGACGCUGAGGAGCGAAAGCGUGGGGAGCGAACAGGAUUAGAGACCCCCGUAGUCCCUGUCUCUUAUAC